GACGAACGCUGGCGGCGUGCUUAACACAUGCAAGUCGAACGGUGAACCCGCUUCGGUGGGGGAUCAGUGGCGAACGGGUGAGUAACACGUGGGCAACCUGCCCUCAGCUCUGGGAUAACUCCAAGAAAUUGGGGCUAAUACCGGAUAUGACCGCUGACCGCAUGGUCUGGUGGUGGAAAGAUUUAUCGGCUGGGGAUGGGCCCGCGGCCUAUCAGCUUGUUGGUGGGGUAGUGGCCUACCAAGGCGACGACGGGUAGCCGGCCUGAGAGGGUGACCGGCCACACUGGGACUGAGACACGGCCCAGACUCCUACGGGAGGCAGCAGUGGGGAAUAUUGCACAAUGGGCGAAAGCCUGAUGCAGCGACGCCGCGUGAGGGAUGACGGCCUUCGGGUUGUAAACCUCUUUCAGCAGGGAAGAAGCGCAAGUGACGGUACCUGCAGAAGAAGCACCGGCUAACUACGUGCCAGCCGCCGCGGUAAUAC
rnacentral:rRNA from 1 species